rnacentral:rRNA from 1 species
UACGUAGGGUGCGAGCGUUAAUCGGAGUUACUGGGCGUAAGCGUGCGUAGGCGGUGUCUUAAGUUUGUUGUGAAAUCUCCCGGCUCAACUGGGAGGGUGCGGCGAAUACUGAGAUGCUGGAGUGCGGGAGAGGUAAGCGGAAUUCCUGGUGUAGCGGUGAAAUGCGUAGAUAUCAGGAGGAACACCUGCGGUGUAGACGGCUUACUGGACCGUAACUGACGCUGAGGCACGAAAGCGUGGGUAGC